rnacentral:lncRNA from 1 species
ACGGUUACGGACCCAAAAUCUUGUUUGUUUUGGAAACCAGAUUGAUUAUUGAUGGUGCUGAUUUAGAAACUUUAUAGCUGAACCACCGUUAGAAAAGAUUCAGAUAGUCUCAUCUGUUAUUACUACAUGUUUGAUAGACCUUGAUCUAAAUUUAGACACCAAGAUCUCUUGGAAUCCUUUAUUGAUUUGGGGUCACAUGCCUUCUAAUAAAGGAACAACCCCCACCCAGCUCACGUCGUGCUCAUAUUCUAUCAUGAAAUAUUUAGUGUCAAAUAAAUAGUAAAGAUAUGGAAUGAUACGGUUGUCGAUCUUUCGAGUCGAUUAUCUCUAUAUAAAAAGGGUUAUAGUAGCAGACAACUCACCAGUGCCACUUGUCUAUUUCUAUCGGCGCAUAUGGAGUAAAAACCCAAAUAUAUGGACAUAAAUAAAGCUGUAAAGAAAUAUAGUAGGAUCUUAGAAUGAACUCUGACAAUUACGGUUUUGUUUGUUCUGAAUCAGAUGCCUGGAGGAAGGAGCAAAUGAGUUCUUCCUAAAACCAGUACGGCUAUCAGACAUGAGCAAGCUCAAGCCCCACAUAAUGAAAAGCAGAUGCAAGGAGCACUGCCACCAGGACGAAGACCUGCUAAGCAACAGCGAGACCAACCUCACAAACAACAGCAGCAGCAGCGAUACCGUCACCAUUAGCGGCAGUAACCCCACAAACAACAGCAGCAGCGAUACCAUCAGCAGCAGUAACCCCACAGAUAACAGCACUGGUGAUAGCAGCAACAUCCGCAAGAGAAAGGCGGC